rnacentral:rRNA from 1 species
UACGAGGGGGGCGAGCGUUGUUCGGAAUUAUUGGGCGUAAAGGGUGCGUAGGCGGCCUGACAAGUCUGAUGUGAAAUCCCUGGGCUCAACCCAGGGCCUGCAUCGGAAACUGUCGGGCUUGAGUAUGGGAGAGGUGAGUGGAAUUUCCGGUGUAGCGGUGAAAUGCGUAGAUAUCGGAAGGAACACCUGUGGCGAAAGCGGCUCACUGGACCAUUACUGACGCUGAGACGCGAAAGCGUGGGGAGCAAACAGG